GUUGUGGAUCAGCGGUAGAACACUCGCCUAGCAUGUGCAAGGUCCUGGGUUCGAUCUUCAGCAGGACA
rnacentral:tRNA from 1 species